GAUGAACGCUGGCGGCGUGCUUAACACAUGCAAGUCGAACGAAGCACUCUAUUUGAUUUUCUUCGGAAAUGAAGAUUUUGUGACUGAGUGGCGGACGGGUGAGUAACGCGUGGGUAACCUGCCUCAUACAGGGGGAUAACAGUUGGAAACGACUGCUAAUACCGCAUAAGCGCACAGGACCGCAUGGUUCGGUGUGAAAAACUCCGGUGGUAUGGGAUGGACCCGCGUCUGAUUAGCCAGUUGGCAGGGUAACGGCCUACCAAAGCGACGAUCAGUAGCCGACCUGAGAGGGUGACCGGCCACAUUGGGACUGAGACACGGCCCAAACUCCUACGGGAGGCAGCAGUGGGGAAUAUUGCACAAUGGGGGAAACCCUGAUGCAGCGACGCCGCGUGAGCGAAGAAGUAUUUCGGUAUGUAAAGCUCUAUCAGCAGGGAGGAAGAAUGACGGUACCUGACUAAGAAGCACCGGCUAAAUACGUGCCAGCCGCCGCUGUAAAAC
rnacentral:rRNA from 1 species